rnacentral:misc_RNA from 1 species
UGAGCGGGUGGUCUUGCCUGAACUCAUGUGCGUUCGAUGUGUUUUCGAUGCACCGCCGCUUGUGGGUCACCCCGCCCGAUCGGAGAAGGCACGACCACGGAGCGUCGACUACCACGAUCCGCUGGGCGACGACAGCGGCCGCCGCUCUGUGCUGCUGCAGCCGACCCGACACGCGGGACGACCAGAUCCUCCACCGCUCACGCCAGCUGUAGUGAGCGGUGCAGAGGUGAGGUCGGCACGCUGAGGCAGACAUGCCCUGUGGACGAGCCGGCAGGGCGCAUUGUGCGUUCGAAGACUCGAUGAUUCACGGAAUUCUGCAAUUCACACUAGAUAUCGCGUUUCGCUGCGUUCUUCAUCGUUGCGGGAGCCA